rfam:Corynebacterium frankenforstense DSM 45800 strain ST18, complete genome.
CCGCGGAGCGCGUGCACGGGCUCCGUCCGGGGUCGACCGGCUCUGGUGUACUUCCCCGACAUCAGAACGGUCCCCCGGGCGGGGCCCUGGACGCACCCCGCGAGCCC